GAUGAACGCUGGCGGCGUGCUUAACACAUGCAAGUCGAACGAAGAUGCCGGAGUGCUUGCACUUUGGCAGACUGAGUGGCGGACGGGUGAGUAACGCGUGGGUAACCUGCCUUAUACAGGGGGAUAACAGUUGGAAACGACUGCUAAUACCGCAUAAGCGCACGGUAUCGCAUGAUACAGUGUGAAAAACUCCGGUGGUAUAAGAUGGACCCGCGUCUGAUUAGCCAGUUGGCGGGUAACGGCCCACCAAAGCGACGAUCAGUAGCCGACCUGAGAGGGUGACCGGCCACAUUGGGACUGAGACACGGCCCAGACUCCUACGGGAGGCAGCAGUGGGGAAUAUUGCACAAUGGGGGAAACCCUGAUGCAGCGACGCCGCGUGGAGGAAGAAGGUCUUCGGAUUGUAAACUACCUGUUGUUGAGGAAGAUAAUGACGGUACUCAACAAGGAAGUGACGGCUAACUACGUG
rnacentral:rRNA from 1 species